rnacentral:lncRNA from 1 species
GUGGUCCCCAAAGGGAAACUCCUUCCAGUGGAGGUGUGUGUGAGCUCUUGCCUCUCUACCCUCAGUUCCUGCAGUGUCUGUCCGAGCUUCAGCAGCAAAUCCAUCGAAAGCUCAAGGAUCUGGGCCGUGGGCAGGACUCAGACGGUGCCUGGAGUGACAUCUCCCUAUCAGACAUUGAGUCCAGCACCAGCGGCUCCAACAGCUCCCAGUCCGACGGCCUCCCUGCUCAUUUACUCAGUGUGGCAGAGAAGUUCCAUCAGAAGAAGAAGCGGCUGCGGACGAGGAAGGAGAGGAACGAGCUGCGUCAGAAAUACGCCUCGAGCCAGGGGCUGACGUGCCAAGACAAGACCCCGGUGGCGGGGGAGAGAAGGUUGGGGAGCCCCACCUGCCGGACCCACCAGCCUGUCAGCGCGGCGGCUCUGUGCACGGAGGACAGCUCUGGCAAACAGGGCAAGACUCCAGAAGCUGGCCUCGUUUCAGAUCUGCAGAGGAGAGAACCUAACGCCAGCCAGGAGGAGCAACCAGGUCUGGGUGCAAAGUGGUCUUGGCACACGUCGCAUGGUAGAAAGGGUGUGUGUGUGCGUAAUUAGGGAGUAACAGGAACUGGUCCAUAAUUAAAGCUGCUACCAAGUUUCCAUUAUAAACUCAGAUUUGUCACCCCACCUAAAACCCACAAACCAAAGAAAUUGCAGGCUCAGAAUUGGGAGGCUAGUUCUGGGGCAGAGGUCGAAUUUCU